rnacentral:rRNA from 1 species
GAUGAACGCUGGCGGCGUGCCUAAUACAUGCAAGUAGAACGCUGAAGGAGGAGCUUGCUCUUCUGGAUGAGUUGCGAACGGGGGAGUAACGCGUAGGUAACCUGCCUGGUAGCGGGGGAUAACUAUUGGAAACGAUAGCUAAUACCGCAUGACAACAGUUAUUGCAUGAUAACUGUUUAAAAGGGGCAACUGCUCCACUACCAGAUGGACCUGCGUUGUAUUAGCUAGUUGGUGAGGUAACGGCUCACCAAGGCGACGAUACAUAGCCGACCUGAGAGGGUGAUCGGCCACACUGGGACUGAGACACGGCCCAGCCUCCUACGGGAGGCAGCAGUAGGGAAUCUUCGGCAAUGGACGGAAGUCUGACCGAGCAACGCCGCGUGAGUGAAGAAGGUUUUCGGAUCGUAAAGCUCUGUUGUAAGAGAAGAACGAGUGUGAGAGUGGAAAGUUCACACUGUGACGGUAUCUUACCAGAAAGGGACGGCUAACUACGUG